CCGGUUGAUCCUGCCAGAAGUCAUAUGCUUGUUUCAAGGAUUAAGCCAUGCAAGUGCCAGAGUAACUAUUUGUAUUAGAGGUCUGCGUACGGCUCAUUAAAAGGUUUUUUAUCUACCCAGCGAAGGUGGUUUCCUAACCGCCCUAUGGAUAACUCCGCUAACUGUGGAGCUAAUACACGUAUGAAGAAGCUUGCCCUAUCAACCUCACGAGGGGUUCGCUCCGAAGUGAGGUGGGGUGGGCUGCUAUUGGCCGGUACAAAAACCAACGCCCGAUGAGGGCAGCUUUAACGGUUGAGGCAGGCCAAUCUUGCAAAAGCGCCCUUUGGGUGCGUUGCUGGACGAAAUUACCACCUAUCAGGUUGUAGGUAGUGUAGUGGACUACCUAGCCCGUUACGGGUACGGGGGAUUGGGGUUCGAUUCCGGAGAGGGUGCCUGAGAAAUGGCAACCAUGGCUAUGGCCAGCAGCAGGCGCGCAAAUUGCCCAAUGCCGACACGGUGAGGCAGCGACGAAAAAUAACAACUUCUCCGCCCUUACGGGCAUGAAGUUUGUAAUGAUUUGUAAACAAAUGUACUAAGAGUAUCCAUUGGAGGACAAGUCUGGUGCCAGCACCCGCGGUAAUACCAGCUCCAAGAGCGUAUAUUUAUGUUGCUGCGGUUAAAAAGCUCGUAGUUGGACGUAAGAGCCAAGGCUGUGGUCUGGUCCGUCGGUUGAAGGCUUCGGCUGGAGGCCGUCGGUACCUGCCACAAUAUGCCGAGGCUCUUUCAUCUUGUGGGAGUGGUUGCUUGCUGAAGCCACCUUAACUGGUGUGUGGAAGCUCUUUCGGAGUCACUCGCUCCAUAAGGCACGCCCACAGAUGUUACUGUGAGUAAAUCAGAAUGUUCAAAGCAGACGGCUCGCCGUUUGAAUGUUAAAGCAUGGGAUAACAAGGGAUCGACCGCUAAGGCCUCUUUUUGUUGGUUUUCAAGCCUGAGUGUGAUAACUCCGCACAGGACUUCUCUUGGGCGUUCCGCGAUCCUUUCGUGGGCGCACUUGUAGAGUCCUGUCGCAUUCGGGAUCGAUAGGAGCGCGGGGAGAAAUCAGUACUUCGAGGUGAGAGGUGAAAUUCAUAGACCCUCGAAAGACUAACAUCAGCGAAAGCCGUUUUCUAUCGCGCUUUCAUUAAUCAAGAUCGAGAGAAAGGGGAUCGAAGAUGAUCAGAUACCGUCGUAGUCCUUUCCGUAAAUGAUGCAGACUUGGGAUCGGUCACUGUUCUUUUGGUGACAUGAUCGGCACCUUAUUCCCUGUCGAGAAAUCAAAGUCUUUGUGUUCCGGGGGGAGUAUAUUCGCAAGGCUGAAACUUAAAGGAAUUGACGGAGAACCACCACCAGACGUGGAGUGUGUGGCUUAAUUCGACCCAACACGGGAAAUCUUACCAGGCCAGGACAUGGUAAGGAUUGCCAGAUUGAAAGCUCUUGCAUGAUCCCAUGAAGGGUAGUGCAUGGCCGCUUCUGGUUGGUGGAGUGAUUUGUCUGCUUAAUUGCGUUAACGAACGAGAUCUCUGCCAAUAAAAUAGAUGGCAGCUCCGC
rnacentral:rRNA from 1 species